ACAGCCCCGCACAGAGGAGAGCAGUGAGAGACCAGGCCGGUGAUGUCCCGAGGUCACGCCGACCUUGAGGCUCACUGAGUCCGCUUAGUGCUUGCCUGUAUGGAGGGCCAUCUAUUGGAGCAUGAGCGGCACCUCCAGGAACACAGCCCUAAAGAAACUGCCUCUCAGUUCACCAACACCCGUCAAUUGCCAGAACUUUCUUUUUGGCAGGUCUUGAGAAUGGAGUCACAACCAGCACAGAACCUUUUAGUGCCAUGAAGGUUAUCCAGGAGGGAUGAAGCUUCCAG